rnacentral:lncRNA from 1 species
UUAGAUCAUAAAAAUGUACCACAAAAGUAUUGUCAUUAGUCUUAAAAACUAAUUUAAACACAAAAUACUUCUCCAACAGCGAUUCGAUAACAUUGUCAUAAUUACUAAUACGAUUACAAAUUUCAAUGAUCAUCGCUAGAAUAACUAUCACCAGAUAAUCGUCCAUUCACAUUCGAAAGAGGUCCACUAGAGACAUCACUUGGCUACAAAAGUAAAAAUAAAAACAGUAAGGUUUUUGAAUACUAAAUAUUUUAUAACAAUACAUUAACUUAAUUUUUCUCAAAUCAAAAUUAUUUACCAUAGAAGUGAAAAAUCCUACAAACUGUUCAGGAAUCGUGCAUUCUUUCAUUAUCAUAUAUGCCUUGAAAGUGUUCAUCAUUAGAUUCACAAUUACGAGCAUCGUAAUCAUUUUACGGUAGUUUAUUAUUUAUCGCUGCAAUCAGUUAGCGGUGGUUAAAUAACGGCGGUUUAAACCCCCACAAUAUGUAAACUAAAAUUAGCUCCCAACUAAUACUUUAAAACACAUACCAGCGGUUAAAAGCUCCACUAUAUAUUUUAAAAAUUGCAGAGGUCAAAACUCCCACAAUUCACUUAUAUUUUUUCAAAAAAAAAGAUUGCUCUGUUCAUGAUCAUUAUUUAAAUUUGAAUUUCAUUUAAUAGAUUUAAUAUAUAUCAUUCACUGUUGGACCAAACAAAAAUACAUCUUAAUAACAACAAAAAUCAAAAUAUAUUAGAUCAUAAAAAUGUACCACAAAAGUAUUGUCAUUAGUCUUAAAAACUAAUUUAAACACAAAAUACUUCUCCAACAGCGAUUCGAUAACAUUGUCAUAAUUACUAAUACGAUUACAAAUUUCAAUGAUUAUCACUAGAAUAACUAUCACCAGAUGAUCUUCCAUUCACAUUCGAAAGAGGUCCACUAGAGACAUCACUUGGCUACAAAAGUAAAAAUAAAAACAGUAAGGUUUUUGAAUACUAAAUAUUUUAU